rnacentral:lncRNA from 1 species
UUUUUUUUUUUUGGCUACUCCCAUGGCUUUUGAAAGUUCCCUGGCCAGGGAUGGAGCCACGCCACAGCAGUGACCCAAGCUGCUGUAGUGACCUCGCCAGAUCCUUAGUCUGCUGCGCCACAAGGGAACACCCUCAGAUCCACCGUUUUUAAUGCCCCCUAGUACUGAUCACUUGGUCCCCAGUCUUAUUCAUUUGAGUAUAUUUAUUUUAAUCCCUCCAAUUCUUAAGAAAAAAAUUAAAAAUACUAAAGCAAGCACUUUAAUGAUCUUUGAGUGAACUGAAAGGAUGGCAGCAGGCGGCUCUAACCACUUUGCUGCUCAAUCCUGCCCCAUCUCAACAGAGGGGACUACGACCUAACCGGCAUUGCUCUUGUCUGCAAGGACCAUGGGCUAAACUCUAACUACGCCAUAACCCAGAAGGGUUUGUGCCAGUGACCCCAAGAAAGCAUCACUUUGUGUCUCCCUUUAAACUAAAUGUGCAAGAACUAAAAGAGGUACAGAAAGUCCUCUGUUAGUGUGGGCGUGGACCUCUCUCCACAGCAUGGUCAGGUCAAUAAGCAGCUUUCCAUUGUGAAGAGUUCACGGCACCAUUCUCAGAAGUGGUCCUUUUGAAAUAUGCCUGACCUGAAAAAUAAAAACAAUUGCAAUUGCAUUCUUCAUUCCCUAUGCAUUUUUCAAGAUGAUGAUUUUCUAUUUUUCACAUUUCAGUCAGCUGAAAAUGACUUAAGGGACAUUUCAGGGUGUUGUAGUCUUUGGGUUCCAGAAGCCUCUCUCUGAACACAUUUUCUGUAUUUCAUGGAAAAAAUCUCUGGGAGCGGGGAGGAAGAUGGGGGGAGAGGAGGAAACAUAGACCAGUUCUAAGUGAGUGUGUGUUAAGAAUCGCCACCUACCACCCACCCUAGGCUCUGUAGUAACAACUGAGACUCAGAGAGUGACAGUAACCAAAAUGACAGUGGCUGGAGAAAAUUGAGAGAAGGAGUUUGCUCCUGGAAAGAGUAGAAAGCGCAUCCCUGCUCCUUCUCUGCAGGAACUCUGAGCACCUCACAAAGCAUCCCCAAGAGCAAAUAUCACUUUGCAGUGGUCACCACUGGCAGAGCCACUAAUGAGGCCUAAUUGGGGCGACAGGGUUUGCCUGUGGACACUAGCAUCUCUAAGUCAUCCCAAUUAAGGAACAAGAGACAGCAGGGUGGGCAUUGUUUGGGUACCGGUGCCCUGCCUGUGUAUGCUGUGAGGAACAAGGCCAAAGGCUGAAUGCCUUCAACCACCCAACGUGUGACCUAAUUGCUAAUUGAUGCACAACCUUGGGUGGCCUGCAGCUUCUUAAUGAUGUUUCAGACAGUUUGGGGUCCUAAAACAACAAGCUUGUUUUGGAACAAAGCCAACAAUUUAUCUUCAUUUAUCUGGUGUUUUACCCUUUUAGGAAAAAAAAAAAAUUACAUCCUGCAGGAUGGCAAUAAGAAACACUAGGCUCUAAACUCUAAGUCAAGAAAGCCAUUGUAGUUAAUAGGUAGAAAGUCUAGGGAAUGUGGUGUGUAAAGCAAUGACAGAAAAGGUAUUUCUGGAGCAUCACGAGGUGCAGGGAAAUAGAGAAGUGUGUAGCACGUUACAGUUUAAAGAUGAGAUCACAGCAGGAAACUUUUAAAAUUUGUAGAAUUUAUUUCAGACCCCACCACCUAUGAGAAUGGCUUCAUUAUCACACUCACCACAGUUCACUUCCGGUCUUCACAUUUUCAGGGAACUGUGGACUGAGUAGAAAAGUUUUAGAUGAGUUACAAAGAUGGAGAAAAGAGGGCUAAUUUUGAAAAGAUGAAAAUAAGGAUGAGUUGAAAGUUUUUAUUCACUACCUUUUUCAUUUAACAAACAUUGUUUAACUGCCUUCUAUGCUCCAGAAGGUAGCCAGCUAGGUACCCAGGGCUUGUAGGAUGGACCAAACAAUAUAAUCUCUGACUUCACAGAAUUUACAUAUGAGCAGAAAAAAGUCAUAAAAUGCAAAGUAAUAAUGAAAAUGAUAAUUAAAUUUUAUUGUUUCAUAGUAUAUGGUAGGUAAGGAGAGUUUAUUAACUAAAUCUAGAGGUCAGGGAGUUUCCUGAAGAAGUCGAGUUGAGCCUGAUUUUGAGGAGGUUAUCCCUCUGGCUCUUGGACUACAAUUAACUUAUAGUUUCCCUUAAAAGCAUAUAAAAUGAUAUUUGGAUUUCUUUUAAAAUCUAGAAGUAACAAACUAUUUAACAUCAUUUAAAAAAUUCAUUUGAUUUCUACAUAAUGAUGGAUAUAAAUGGGAAAAGGUGAAGAAUAUGAAAAGAAAUAAACUAGAAAGAGAUAGUAGAGAAACAGCAAAGAGCGACAAAGAAAGAUAGAAAGGGAAGGAGGAAAUACAGCGAGAGAAGAAAUAUACCCAGAAUACUAGGAAUACUCAUCAAGAGACAGAAGAAGAAAGUAAUUGUCAGACAGAUAGGGAAGAAGAACGAAGUAGAAGGGAAAAGAUAUGGACGAGGAAAAGGACAGUGAAAAAAGUAUUGUAGCCCUUAGGGCAGUUUCUAGUCUGACAUGAACUGAUCUGGUCAAAUCCUCCUUGUUUCAUACAUUGUAUUUUCUGGCAGUAGUUACAAUUCUUCCUUAAUGCCUUCCCAAAUGCUAAAAAGCUGGUCAGCUACUGUUUACAGCUCUUCAACUGAGAUAGGCAAAUAAUGCCCUUCUUAAAUUAUUUCCAAGAAAAUAAAAUAACAGCCUGGGAAUUACAGACAUAUUUUUGAUGACCUAAAUUAAUUACUAGCAUGCUCAUUGGUCAGCUCACUUAUUCCGUAAAUAUUUAGUGAGCAUAUAUUAGUUUGAAAUAUUAGGCAAGAUACUACUAUAGAGUAAGCAAUAAGCUCCAUUAAUAUUUUAAAUAUAAGUAUCCAGCAUAUCAUAUUAAAGACACCCUCUACUUUUGCUCCUUCUCCUCUCCUCACCACUCUAUUUUCACUCAUAUGCUUUAAUAUCCUCCCUUCUGUUCUGGCUGAUCUAAUUUCCUCCCAUCUUUACAUGCAUCAUUCAAGAUUCAUGUUCUCAAGGGAAUUUUUCCAUUAGGACUUUUUUUCCUUCAAAACAAAGAGAAACAAAAAUAAGACUUGUAUCCACUUUUUCUUCAGAAACCAUGCAAGCCAUGUCUACAGCCAUACCACUUUGAAUGUGUCCAAUCUUGUCUGAUCUCCAAAAUCAUGCAAAACGAGAAUGGAGUAAAGUAUUCAGAGAAUUAAGAGAGAAAACAAACAAACAAACCUAGUAUUCUGUAUGUUGAAAAAUUAUCCUUCAAAAGUGGAGAAAUAAAAUCUUUCUCAAGCAAACAAUAAUUGAGGGAAUUCAUUUCCUGUAGACUUGCCUUGAAAAAAAUGAUUAAAAAGUAAGUUUUUAGAGAAAAGAAAAAUAAUAAACUUCAGAAACUUGAAACUACAUGAAGAAAGGAAAAGCAUCAGAAAAAGAAUAAGUGAAAAUAAAAUAAAAAUUUUAAUUUUUCUUAUUCCUUAUUGAUCUAACUGUGUAAUGUUUAUAUGUAAGUGAAAUGAAUGACAACAGUGAUCCAAGGGACAGGAAGGAGAAAUUAGAAUAAUUUAUAUUUUGCUAUUAUAAGGUACUCAUACUACCUGUGAAGUGCUACAGCAUUAUUUGAAAGUGCACUUGUAUAAGUUGUAAAUAUGUAUUGCAAACCCUAGGGCAACCACUAAAAAGAGCAAAAAAAAAAAAAAAAUAAUAUAUUACUCAUAUACUAAAAAAAGGGAGAAAAUGGAAUAAAACUAGAUUAUAUCAUUUUUUUUUUUUUUUUCUUUUUAGGGCCCCACCCAUGGCAUGUAGAGGUUCCCAGGCUAGGGGUCUAAUCAGAGCUAUAGCCGCCCGUCUAUGCCAGAGCCACAUUAACGCAGGAUCCAAGCUGCGUCUGCAAGCUGCACCACAGCUCAUGGCAAUGCUGGAUCCUUAACUCUCUGAGCGGGGCCAGGGAUCGAACCCAAAACCUCGUGGUUCCUAGUCGGAUUCGUUAACCCCUGAGCCAUGACGGGAACUCCUAUAUAAUUAUUUAAUCAGAUAAAACCACAAAGGGCCGAAAAAGAGUGGAAGACAAAAAUAGGCACAAAGAAGGGCAGCAAAAAGAAAAUGGUAACAGAGGUGGUAGAUAGUAAUAUAACCAUAUCAAUAGUGUUUUGAAUAUCAAUGGUCUCAAUGUACCAAUUGAAAGGUAGAGAUAAUCACAGUAAUUAAAAAAACAAAACCAAAAAAAAAAACUUCCAACAAAACAAGUCCAAGACCAAACGUACUCACAGAUGAAUUCCACCAAACAUUUAGAGAUGAGGUAACACCUAUUCUUCUCAAACUAGUCAAAAAUAUUUCAGAGGAAGGAGUGCUUCCAAACUGAUUCUAUGAGACCAGCGUCAUCUUGAUACCAAAACCAGACAAAGACAUCACAAAAAAAAGGAAAUUACAGGCCAAUAACACUGAGGAACAUAGAUGCAAAUAUCCUUGAAAAGUAUCAGCAAACUGAUUCAAUAACACAUUCAAAGGAUCAUGUACAAUGAUCAAGUGGGAUCUAUACCAGGAAUGCAAGGAUGGAUCAUUACCUGAAAAUCAAUCAGUGUGAUGCACCACAUUAACAAAUCAAAGCAUAAAAAUCCUAUGAUCAUCUCAACCAAUGUAGAAAAGGCUUUUGACAAAAUUCAACAGCCAUUUAUGAUAAAAACUGGAUAUAGAGGAAUUGUACUUCAGCAUAACUAAGGAUGUGUAUGAUAAGCCCACAGCUGACAUCAUACUCAAUUGUGAAAAGCUGAAAGCAUUUUCUCUAAGAUUAGGAGAGUAAGAUAAAUAUGCCCACUCUCACCACAUUUACUGAACAUACUAUUGGUGGAAAUCCUAGCCACAGCUAAGAGGUAUGGCACAUGAAUUAUUAAAUUGAUUCACACACUUCUGACUUUUUAUGCUUUUGAAAAUUGCAAUAUUUUAAAACUUUUGUCUUCUGAGAGUUUGUUGCUAGUGUAUAUACACACAACGUGAAAAGAUUAGCACAUAUAUAUAUAUAUAUAUACACACAUAUAGUAUGUAUGUGUGUGUGUGUGUAUGCACACACACAUACCUUUGCCAAGUUCACUUUUUGUGGUUUGUGUAUCCUUUUGGAGCUUAUUCAUACAUAAUUAUAUUCUCCAGGAGCAAUGAAAUUUUAUUUCUUUUCCAAAUCUAUUAUCUUUUAUUUUAUUUUCUUGCCUUAUUUCACUGACUAGGACCUCUAGUGUGAUAUUGAAUUGAUAUGGUGAUAUUAAGCAUCCUUGUCUUAUGGCUGUUCUCAUAGGAAUUUUUUUUUUCAAUAAUUCACCAUUAAGUAUAAUGUUUUCUGUAGGUUGUAGAUACUAUAUAUUAGAUUCAAAGCAGAUCAUUCUGUAUCAAAUUUGUAAC